AGACGUCUACAUUAGAUACCCCGGUAGUCCUAGCCGUAAACGAUACUCGCUAGGUGUCGGCCACGGUGCGACCGUUGUCGGUGCCGUAGGGAAGCCGUGAAGCGAGCCACCUGGGAAGUACGGCCGCAAGGCUGAAACUUAAAGGAAUUGGCGGGGGAGCACAACAACGGGUGGAGCUUGCGGUUUAAUUGGAUUCAACGCCAGAAAUCUUACCGGGACCGACAGCAACAUGAAGGCCAAGCUGAAGACUUUGCCGGAUUAGCUG
rnacentral:rRNA from 1 species